ensembl:lncRNA
GUCAUUCCUGCCGAGGGUUGUCUGAUGUCAGAGUGGAGUGAGCCGAGCUCUGAUUGGUGGACUCCUCUGAGGAUGUGCCUGGCCAGAGAAUGGCAUCAGUUGUGAGGCGCUGCCAGCAAGCAGAGCGGGCUGCCAGUCUCCAGAUGUAUGCGUAGGAGAAGGGAAGUGGUUCUGAAGCCUAAACAGAGGGGAUUGUUUCCUAUUUCAUUUACCCAAAUGAAGAAGAAUCGACAUCUAUGAUUCUCUGUUCCCACCUGUUCCAUACAGCGAGAGAGAGAGAGAGAUGAGUAAGAUGUUGGGAGUUCUGCCAAGAGUAGAAUUAACAGGAAAAAGAAAGUGAAAAAGCAGUGGAAAUAAGCAUUCUUCCUCUAGUAAACAUGAGGCCGCUGUGCAUUAUGGACAAAAAGGAGGAAAAUGAGGGUGGGAAUGAGAAUAGCAGAGAAAAGAGACACCAGCGUUGGCCACAUGCGGCAGACUCUUCUCUCUCCCAGCCUUCGUCUCUUUCUGUCUCCCAAGAGCUCCGUCAGUAUGAAGAGGCCCGAGGACGCCAUCUCAUCUUCUCUCAGCCGGUGUCAAGCAACAAUCCUGCGGGGCCCGUCCCUGCUUAAUUCAGCUUAGAGGCCCUCUCUCGUCCCCGACAUUCCUGAUCGCCUCAUUUUUCCGGGUAUGCCUCUCAGGGCUGAGUUCCUGUCUAGAGACCCAUGUCAGAAUUCCCGCCUGUGCAGCAUCAAACUGUCCCCACUCCUGUCUGCGUCUCUGGGCCUGGAGAUAAUGUGUGACAUCGGCCCCGUUACAACCAGGGUUGGAAAUCCAUCACUGUGGACAUGCCUCAUUGGCUCUCACCUCGUGCGGGACAAACUCCCAGACAAAGAAGGCCAAGUAAAAAUUACAGGGGGUUCAGAAGUACGGCAGUCACCUGAGGCAGCCAUGGAGGAUAACUAACGACAGACAGGCCGACUCUCACUUUGUUUUGCCUUUGAACAGCUAAGCUCUUCUCCACUGCUAGCCCGAGGCUGUUUGGAGGUGAGCUAGUGGAGUAUGGGUGUUUGGCUGUACCACAGCAAGAAGAGGACAUGGACAAACAGAGGAUUUCUGAUGACACUCUUGCUGGAAACAAAUGGUUACAGAUGGCUACUGACAAAAUAGCGUGUCACAUAAUGUAAACACGUGUAAUGAGUGUAAUUUGUGUCAUCAUAACCUUGGAAAAACAAACCAAAAAAAAAAAAGUAUUUAUUGAGCUCACCUUCCCCGGUGGUGCAUGUUGUGUUGGUUUGUGGGCCGUAAACGUGAGCUUAGCAGCGCUAUAUAAAUCAUUCUCAAGCAAUUCUCGUGCUUAUCAGUUCGUGAGCACAGAAGAUGGAUUUUAGCAUAUAUAGGCCUACUGUAAAACACAGCAAUCGUGGAUUUAUUCUCUUGAUCUCUGACUGGGCACCGCAUUUUGUUAUUUAUGAGCACUGAAUCAAUAUUUAUUGUGCAUAAAGGAACAAUAUUCCCGUUCUGAAUGUCUAAACAUUAAAAGAACAGCCUACGAAAGCAUACAUACACAAACUGAGAGGGAACAGAUUAUCACAUUCUUAUUUAAGGUGAUAUUACAUAUUGCAUUCCGGCUGCCGUCUUUGUUGAUGUUUACAAAAUGGAGGUUAUUAUUGUAGAAGAGCAUUUUAAAUUCAGUGGGCUUGGCACUGAACAGAGACUUUUAAAUAUUGCAUUGUGCCUUAUGGGGUAGAAGCACACGUGCAGUGCUGUAAACGUAAGAACCAUCUUUCUUUCUUUCUGUUUAUCUCUCUUUUCUUUUCUUUCGGUCUUUCUCUCUUCUCUUUUCUUUCUGUCAGUCUUUCUGUUGGUCUGUCUCUCUUUUCUUUCUUUCUUUCUUUCUUUCUUUCUCAAUCACAUUUCUUUUGUUUAUUUCCCACCAAUCCAGCUUAAUUACUGUACUUAUUUGAUAAUUGCUCCCAUCUGUUUCAUUUGUUUCCCGAGAUGGACAUCCUUUGUAUGAAAUGGUCUUCCCCCAGACAAAUAAUGAAGUCCAGAAUUAAUGGAAUGGUAUUGUCUUUGUCUGUUCCUGGCAUUGCCCAAAUGUCACCAACCCUCAGGGAGAUAGAUGAGCAAUUCAUCCAUUAGUGAAAUACCACCUCUCCUCUCAUCUCUGUUAGCACAGCAGCAUGAAAAGAUGGCAUAUACGCAUAUUAAUGCGCACUUCUUUAUUGUGCUAUUGAUCAGGGAUUACUGAAAGCAGCCACUCACAUCCAAGCUGCGGUUUCCUCUCUCUCUCUCUCUUAUCCUAUUACACACAGUGUCGUAAAUCAGUCUUGGCUGUCAAAACUUUCUUCCCAAACAGUCUUCCCAGAUUAUGACCAACUCAAUUAAAACAUCUGGCUGCCAGACCAUUGUAAUCUAAGUUUAAUAAUUUGUGUGUGUAGUGUGAGCUAUUUAUUCAGUUAAAGACAGAUGUGUAUUGGCGACAUGGCUUUUGAUGACGUGUUUAUGUUUGUGUAUGUGCAUGUACGUGCUUGCUCUCAUGCACAUAUGCAUGUGAGUCUCCAAAGAAAUCCCGUAAUGGGGCAAUCAUCUAGAAGCCAACCCCCAUGCCAAUUAUCUGUCAGAUUAUGAAAAGUAUGGUUUGCGGUUUUAAUCUUACGGAAUGCCAUUCAGCAAUUUCCCCGUGCACAACAAGGGGAAGAUAAAUUAAUCAAAGAGAUAGAAAAUCAAUUUGGCUCCCCAACUGUCAUUUCGGAUCACCUCGCAAAGCUCUUUUCUCCCAACUCGCCGUGAUGCUGAUGCAAAUGGUAGAGCCCCGCUGGAGAUGCCUAAUGCUGGGCUUGCAGCCUAACAGCCUCUGUGUGGAUGGGAGUGGAGGAGUCAGGUUUAGGAGGAUAAAGCUUCUGUGUUUUCCUACUUGCAUUCCACGCAUGAAAUGCCGGAAGAAGACCUGUCUAGUCAAAAGGUUAGGCUGUUUUAAACUUUCUAGAACUGUAAUUUCAUGCUUUUUGUUUGAACUACUAGGUUUUAAAUAAAGUGUCUUUCAUCAUUUACUCA